GAAGAUAUCUAGCUCAAGAUUAAAGAGAAACUUGAUUUUAGCUAACUAGAAAGUAAAGUAGAGUGCUUUUGAUCUUUAAUCAGGAGUAAAUCAAGGUGAUACAAGAGAUCAACCAAGUUUUACUUAAAAGCUAACGGUGAUUAUAAGGUGAGACAAG